rnacentral:misc_RNA from 1 species
AACUGAUACUACCUGCGGGAACCUGCGGAGGGAUCAUUACCGAGUUUUCAACUCCCUAACCCUUCUGUGAACCUACCUAUCGUUGCUUCGGCGGACUCGCCCCAGCCCGGACGCGGACUGGACCAGCGGCCCGCCGGGGACCUCAAACUCUUGUAUUCCAGCAUCUUCUGAAUACGCCGCAAGGCAAAACAAAUGAAUCAAAACUUUUAACAACGGAUCUCUAGAUCGGAAGAGCACACG